UGGGGAAUAUUUCACAAUGGAGGGAACCCUGAUGCAGCAACGCCGCGUGCGGGAUGACGGCCUUCGGGUUGUAAACCGCUUUCAGCCCUGACGAAGCUUUUGUGACGGUAGUGGUAGAAGAAGCACCGGCUAACUACGUGCCAGCAGCCGCGGUGAUACGUAGGGUGCGAGCGUCGUCCGGAUUGAUUGGGCGUAAAGAGCUUGUAGGCGGUUUGUCGCGUCGAUAGUGUAAACACGCAGCUUAACUGUGUGCCUGCUGUCGAUACGGGCUGACUAGAGGAGGGUAGGGGAGAAUGGAAUUCCCGGUGGAGCGGUGAAAUGCGCAGAUAUCGGGAGGAACACCAGUGGCGAAGGCGGUUCUCUGGCCCUUUCCGGACGCUGGGAAGCGAAAGCGUGGGUAGCAAACAGG
rnacentral:rRNA from 1 species